UACCGAGGUUUUCCUCGGCAUUUAACUGCAGCCGGUUUUGGAAUUUCUCGGCAGUUAACUGCCGAGGGGACA
rnacentral:pre_miRNA from 1 species